AUACGGAGGAUGCAAGCGUUAUCCGGAUUUAUUGGGUUUAAAGGGUGCGUAGGCGGUUUGCUAAGCGGGAGGUGAAAUGCCGGCGCUCAACGUCGGAAGUGCCUCCCGAACUGGUGGACUUGAAUGACUCUGCCGUGGGAGGAAUGUGUAGUGUAGCGGUGAAAUGCUUAGGGAUUACACAGAACACCGAUUGCGAAGGCAUCUCACGAAGGGUUGAUUGACGCUGAGGCACGAAAGCGUGGGGAUCAAACAGGAUUAGAUACCCUGGUAGUCCACGCAGUAAACGAUGAUGGCUAACCGCUGGAUCCAUCGGUUCAGUGGCCAAGCGAAAGCGAUAAGCCAUCCACCUGGGGAGUACGACCGCAAGGUUGAAACUCAAAGGAAUUGACGGGG
rnacentral:rRNA from 1 species